UCUUCAAAUCAAAGAGAAUUUGUUCAAGAACAAAUUAAGAACACACUAGAACACGAUUUUCUUUUGGGUAGUUAUGACUACCUCUUUUUGUUGUUUGCAUUGAUUUAAAUAGAUAAAAGUUACAAGAAGCAAUUGUGGGAUCAUGAUCCCUAUACAACGAUGAAAUGGGAAACGUGGGAUGAUUAAGUUCCUAAACAUUAGGAAGAAUCAGUCUCCAUUAUUAACAACUAAACUCAUUAAAAUAAAUAAUUAAAAGAACAAUGAAACACUGCAAACCAGGUCCGGUUAGUUGACCAACGUUAACGCGAUUACUAUCUCAUCAAUACUCCGGACGUCAAAGAACCUUGUCCUCAAGGUUCGUGAUGAACUGAGGAAAGCUCGACUUGAGUUGCUUCUCUUUCUUCCAUGUUGAUUCUUCUUGCCAGUAGAUGUCUUUCAACGCAUUACAACUUCAAAGACCCAGACCAAGCUUGUUUCCUUAUUAGAAUAAAACUGUUUUUUUUUGCUUUUCUUUUAAAUGACAAGUAAGAUGAAAUUUUUUUUUUUUGAAAACUGAAAAACAAUGGAAGAAUUACAGAUUUUAAUCCAUACAAAAGAAAGGAUGUUGAACUUGAUCAACAAACCCGAAAAGAAGAAAAUGGUGAAAAGAAAAAAAGCUGGAUAGAUCUCGAUGAUCGUUGAUUCUCAAGAAUGGUCGUUCGUCGAGGAUUCUUG
rnacentral:lncRNA from 1 species